rnacentral:rRNA from 1 species
AAGAGACAGCAGUCCCGCGGUAAUACGUAGGGUGCGAGCGUUAAUCGGAAUUACUGGGCGUAAAGCGUGCGCAGGCGGCUUUGCAAGACAGAUGCGAAAUCCCCGGGCUCAACCUGGGAACUGCAUUUGUGACUGCAAGGCUAGAGUGCGGCAGAGGGAGAUGGAAUUCCGCGUGUAGCAGUGAAAUGCGUUGAGAUCGGAAAGGACACCAACGGCGAAAGCACUCUGCUGGGCCGACACUGACACUGAGAGACGAAGGCUAGGGGAGCAAAUGGGAUUAGAUACCCCCGUAGUCCCUGUCUCUUAUACC